UGUGAACUCGAAGAGUAGGGCGGGACACGUGGUAUCCUGUCUGAAUAUGGGGGGACCAUCCUCCAAGGCUAAAUACUCCUGACUGACCGAUAGUGAACCAGUACCGUGAGGGAAAGGCGAAAAGAACCCCGGCGAGGGGAGUGAAAAAGAACCUGAAACCGUGUACGUACAAGCAGUGGGAGCACCUUCGGGUGUGACUGCGUACCUUUUGUAUAAUGGGUCAGCGACUUAUAUUCUGUAGCAAGGUUAACCGUAUAGGGGAGCCGCAGGGAAACCGAGUCUUAACUGGGCGUUAAGUUGCAGGGUAUAGACCCGAAACCCGGUGAUCUAGCCAUGGGCAGGUUGAAGGUUGGGUAACACUAACUGGAGGACCGAACCGACUAAUGUUGAAAAAUUAGCGGAUGACUUGUGGCUGGGGGUGAAAGGCCAAUCAAACCGGGAGAUAGCUGGUUCUCCCCGAAAGCUAUUUAGGUAGCGCCUCGUGAAUUCAUCUUCGGGGGUAGAGCACUGUUUCGGCUAGGGGGUCAUCCCGACUUACCAACCCGAUGCAAACUACGAAUACCGAAGAAUGUUAUCACGGGAGACACACGGCGGGUGCUAACGUCCGUCGUGAAGAGGGAAACAACCCAGACCGCCAGCUAAGGUCCCAAAGUCAUGGUUAAGUGGGAAACGAUGUGGGAAGGCACAGACAGCCAGGAUGUUGGCUUAGAAGCAGCCAUCAUUUAAAGAAAGCGUAAUAGCUCACUGGUCGAGUCGGCCUGCGCGGAAGAUGUAACGGGGCUAAACCAUGCACCGAAGCUGCGGCAGCGACACUAUGUGUUGUUGGGUAGGGGAGCGUUCUGUAAGCCUGCGAAGGUGUGCUGUGAGGCAUGCUGGAGGUAUCAGAAGUGCGAAUGCUGACAUAAGUAACGAUAAAGCGGGUGAAAAGCCCGCUCGCCGGAAGACCAAGGGUUCCUGUCCAACGUUAAUCGGGGCAGGGUGAGUCGACCCCUAAGGCGAGGCCGAAAGGCGUAGUCGAUGGGAAACAGGUUAAUAUUCCUGUACUUGGUGUUACUGCGAAGGGGGGACGGAGAAGGCUAUGUUAGCCGGGCGACGGUUGUCCCGGUUUAAGCAUGUAGGCUGGUUGUCCAGGCAAAUCCGGAUAAUCAAGGCUGAGGUGUGAUGACGAGGCACUACGGUGCUGAAGUAACAAAUGCCCUGCUUCCAGGAAAAGCCUCUAAGCAUCAGGUAACAUUAAAUCGUACCCCAAACCGACACAGGUGGUCAGGUAGAGAAUACCAAGGCGCUUGAGAGAACUCGGGUGAAGGAACUAGGCAAAAUGGUGCCGUAACUUCGGGAGAAGGCACGCUGGUGUGUAGGUGAAGUCCCUGCGGAUGGAGCUGAGACCAGUCGAAGAUACCAGCUGGCUGCAACUGUUUAUUAAAAACACAGCACUGUGCAAACACGAAAGUGGACGUAUACGGUGUGACGCCUGCCCGGUGCCGGAAGGUUAAUUGAUGGGGUUAUCCGUAAGGAGAAGCUCUUGAUCGAAGCCCCGGUAAACGGCGGCCGUAACUAUAACGGUCCUAAGGUAGCGAAAUUCCUUGUCGGGUAAGUUCCGACCUGCACGAAUGGCGUAAUGAUGGCCAGGCUGUCUCCACCCGAGACUCAGUGAAAUUGAACUCGCUGUGAAGAUGCAGUGUACCCGCGGCAAGACGGAAAGACCCCGUGAACCUUUACUAUAGCUUGACACUGAACAUUGAGCCUUGAUGUGUAGGAUAGGUGGGAGGCUUUGAAGCGUGGACGCCAGUCUGCGUGGAGCCAACCUUGAAAUACCACCCUUUAAUGUUUGAUGUUCUAACGUUGGCCCCUUACCGGGGUUGCGGACAGUGUCUGGUGGGUAGUUUGACUGGGGCGGUCUCCUCCCAAAGCGUAACGGAGGAGCACGAAGGUUAGCUAAUCCUGGUCGGACAUCAGGAGGUUAGUGCAAUGGCAUAAGCUAGCUUGACUGCGAGCGUGACGGCGCGAGCAGGUGCGAAAGCAGGUCAUAGUGAUCCGGUGGUUCUGAAUGGAAGGGCCAUCGCUCAACGGAUAAAAGGUACUCCGGGGAUAACAGGCUGAUACCGCCCAAGAGUUCAUAUCGACGGCGGUGUUUGGCACCUCGAUGUCGGCUCAUCACAUCCUGGGGCUGAAGUAGGUCCCAAGGGUAUGGCUGUUCGCCAUUUAAAGUGGUACGCGAGCUGGGUUUAGAACGUCGUGAGACAGUUCGGUCCCUAUCUGCCGUGGGCGCUGGAGAAUUGAGGGGGGCUGCUCCUAGUACGAGAGGACCGGAGUGGACGCAUCACUGGUGUUCGGGUUGUCAUGCCAAUGGCACUGCCCGGUAGCUAAAUGCGGAAGAGAUAAGUGCUGAAAGCAUCUAAGCACGAAACUUGCCCCGAGAUGAGUUCUCCCUGAGACUUUAAGUCUCCUGAAGGAACGUUAAAGACGAUGACGUUGAUAGGCCGGGUGUGUAAGCGCAGCGAUGCGUUGAGCUAACCGGUACUAAUGAACCGUGAGGCUUAACCUU
rnacentral:rRNA from 1 species